CUCAGACCAAAUUUGGUCCUGUUCUAUAAAGAUGCAAGAAAACACACACCCUCUAAAGAUAAUUCUGUGACUAGACUUCUAGUCCGGAGCUACAGAGCAGAAGAUCCGAAAACAUCACAGAAACAGAUGAAGAGAGAAAAGGGAUAAAGAUACCUGAUCAGAACCAACACGUUUAAAUGACUUGUUUUCUGAAGUCAGUUGUAAAGAAUGAAAUAAAGAGAAAGCUGGA
rnacentral:lncRNA from 1 species